UACGGGGGGGGCAAGCGUUGUUCGGAAUUACUGGGCGUAAAGGGCGCGUAGGCGGCCCGCUAAGUCGAACGUGAAAUCCCCGAGCUCAACUCGGAACGGUCAAGUGAAACUGUCAUGCUAGAGUGCAGAAGGGGCAAUCGGAAUUCUUGGUGUAGCGGUGAAAUGCGUAGAUAUCAAGAGGAACACCUGAGGUGAAGACGGGUUGCUGGGCUGACACUGACGCUGAGGCGCGAAAGCCAGGGGAGCAAACGGG
rnacentral:rRNA from 1 species